ACCCGUUGAUCCUGCGGGGGAUUGCUGCUAUUGGAGUUCGACUAAGCCAUGCAAGUCAGGGGGCCUUCGGGUCACCGGCGGAUCGCUCAGUAACACGUCAAUAAUCUGCCCUGUGGUAGAGGAUAGCCUUGGGAAACUGAGGGUAAAACUCUAUAGAAGAUUUGUUCUGGAAACGAUUUAUCUUCCAAAACUUCGGUGCCAUAGGAUGAGUUGGCGGCUGAUUAGGCUGUUGGUGAGGUAAAGGCUCACCAAACCUUAGAUCAGUAGGGGCCAUGAGAGUGGUAGCCCCGAGAAGGUCACUGAGAUACUGGACCUAGCCCUACGGGGUGCAGCAGGCGCGUAACCUUUACAAUGCACUAACGUGUGAUAAGGGAACUCCAAGUGCUUAUGCUCUGCAUAGGCUUUUGCCAAGAUUGAAACCCUUGGCGAAUAAGUGGUGGGUAAGACUGGUGCCAGCAGCCGCGGUAACACCAGCGCCGCAAGUGGUGAUCGUUUUUAUUGGGCCUAAAGCAUUCGUAGCUGGUCCAACAAGUCUCUUGUGAAAUCGAGGAGCUUAACUCAUCGGAAUGCAGGAGAUACUGUUGGGCUUGGGACUGGGAGGAGUGAGAGGAAUUUAAGGGGAAGCGGUAAAAUGCUAUAAUCCCUUAAAGACCAUCGAUGGCGAAGGCAUCUCACCAGAACAGAUCCGACAGUGAGGGAUGAAAGCCAGGGGAGCAAACCGGAUGAGAUACCCGAGUAGUCCUGGCCGUAAACGCUGUGAGCUAGGUGUUGCAUAUUCUUCGGGAAUGUGCAGUAUCGUAGUGAAGACGUUAAGCUCACCGCCUGGGAAGUAUGGUCGCAAGAUUGAAACUUAAAGGAAUUGGCGGGGGAGCACUACAAGGGAUGCGGCGUGCGGUUUAAUCUAACUCCACGCAGAGAAUCUCACCAGAAGCGACGGCAGAAUGAAGGACAAGCUGAAGACUUUUCCUGACGAGCCGAGAGGUAGUGCAUGGCCGCCGUCAGCUCGUGCCGUAAGGUGUCCAGUUAAGUCUGGUAACGAGCAAGACCUGUAUCUACAAUUGCCAGCGGGUAAUUUUUUACGACCGGGCAUAUUGUAGGGACUGCCUUGGAAACAAGGAGGAAGGUGCAGGCAACGGUAGGUCUGUAUGCUCCGAAUCUUCUGGGCUACACGCGCGCAACAAUGGUAAGGACAAUGGGAUGCCACUCCGAAAGGAGAAGCUAAACCUCGAAACCUUAUCUCAGUACAGAUUGAGGCUUGUAACUCAGCCUCAUGACGAUGGAAUCCCUAGUAAUCGGAUUUUAUCAUAGUCCGGUGAAUGUGUCCCUGCUCCUUGCACACACCGCUCGUCAAACCAACCGAGCAGGGUUUAGAUGAGCAUUGGCAUUUUAGCCCGUUCGAAUCUAAGCUCAGUGAGGUGGGUUAAGUCGUCACAAGGUC
rnacentral:rRNA from 1 species